GGAAAAAUGAAAUCAGACAACACUGAAUUUUUCUCUGUUUUUAUUUUCUAUGAAAGUUCUAUGACUUAAACUGAGUAAACAUCCCGUUUGAUUCUUAAAAUUUAAGUGAACCAGGAAAAAAACAGAAUUCAAGAUGUAUUAUGUCAACACUAAACACUGUCUUACUUUGACACUGCUGCUGGUGUAUGAUAAAGAAUAUUAAAUGUACAGUAUGCUGCAGUAUGAUAAAGAAUAUUAAAUGUAUUUCUGCAUUUCCUAGGUUCAACGCUAUUAAGUGCUUGUAUAAUUCCACCUGAAAAGAUUACAAAUACUAAUGUGCUCAUCUCUCCUGUGAUGAUUAAUAAUAUAUGCUAGACAAAGUCACAUGGUUCAAAGUGUUUCCUUUGAUUUGCUGAGUCCUGUGCACUCAGAGAUUGAAAAAUACAUCAAGGUAACAUUACUCCUCACAUAAUCCCUCAGUUCUCAGUUAGAGCUGAGACCUGACAUGUCCGUCAUGCUUUCUUCAUUCUGUAUAGUUUGAUCAACACGGUGACAGUCCCCGAUGGCCACUAUCAAUCAUAGCCACAGCUGAACUCCUCUCAUCCAAUGGCCCACUUUCUGCUGGACCCCACACCUCUCUGACAGGCAUCUGAUAUGUGUUAUCUCUCACACACACACACACACACACACACACACACACACUGUAGCACACACACAUUCACUCAAUGUGUGUUAUAGUGACAUAAUGGCUAGGUUCUAUAACCUACUGUGCUGCCUAUAAAGGCAAUAUUUGAAGACAUCAUAGACGCGCUUCUGACGCAACUACAGUAUAUAGUCUGCAGCAUGAUUACACUGUAAAAGAAAGAAGUGACAUUUUAUCCAGCUUAUGAGAGUCACAGGCUCUAUAAUUUGUGAUAACAUUGAAUCUAUAUUACAGCAAUAUUACCCCAACUAGCCAAACACGGUUACACAGUCUGAACAAAUAAUUUUAGGUUGUGUUAAGGGUUUGUGAUCUCCCAGCAUGCACUGCAGCAUGAACAAAUAAGGCAGUUAUUGUUUAAGGAUUAUUGUCUUCUUGGCUGAUUUUAUUUUCUACAGUUGAUGAUUUUGUCACGAUUAUUAGUGAUUUGUGUUGUGGUUUGAUCCACAAAUUUAUGAUCAAAGUCAUCAAUUACUCUCCCGAACCCAUUACAAACCCAUAAAUCUUCCGUUCAUUUUAACACAGAUGAAUUUAUUUUUAAUUGAAUCCUUAGACAUUUCUGCCCCUCCAACUGAAAGUCAAUUUGCCUAAAAUCUAAGUGUGUCAAGCAAAUACAGUUGAGCUGCCGUUUACCAUAUUCG
ensembl:lncRNA